rnacentral:rRNA from 1 species
GACGAACGCUGGCGGCGUGCUUAACACAUGCAAGUCGAACGGAAAGGCCCUUCGGGGUGCUCGAGUGGCGAACGGGUGAGUAACACGUGUGUGAUCUGCCCUGCACUUUGGGAUAAGCCUGGGAAACUGGGUCUAAUACCGAAUAUGAUCAUCAGCUUCAUGGUUGGUGGUGGAAAGCUUUUGCGGUGUGGGAUGGGCCCGCGGCCUAUCAGCUUGUUGGUGGGGUAAUGGCCUACCAAGGCGACGACGGGUAGCCGGCCUGAGAGGGUGACCGGCCACACUGGGACUGGGAUACGGCCCAGACUCCUACGGGAGGCAGCAGUGGGGAAUAUUGCACAAUGGGCGCAAGCCUGAUGCAGCGACGCCGCGUGAGGGAUGACGGCCUUCGGGUUGUAAACCUCUUUCAGCACAGACGAAGCGCAAGUGACGGUAUGUGCAGAAGAAGGACCGGCCAACUUCGUGCCAGCCGCCGCAGUAAGAC